rnacentral:rRNA from 1 species
GAUGAACGCUGGCGGCGUGCUUAACACAUGCAAGUCGAACGGGAAACCUUUUAUUGAAGCUUCGGCAGAUUUAGCUGGUUUCUAGUGGCGGACGGGUGAGUAACGCGUGGGUAACCUGCCUUAUACAGGGGGAUAACAGUCAGAAAUGGCUGCUAAUACCGCAUAAGCGCACAGAGCUGCAUGGCUCAGUGUGAAAAACUCCGGUGGUAUAAGAUGGACCCGCGUUGGAUUAGCUGGUUGGUGGGGUAACGGCCCACCAAGGCGACGAUCCAUAGCCGGCCUGAGAGGGUGAACGGCCACAGUGGGACUGAGACACGGCCCAGACUCCUACGGGAGGCAGCAGUGGGGAAUAUUGCACAAUGGGGGAAACCCUGAUGCAGCGACGCCGCGUGAAGGAAGAAGUAUCUCGGGAUGUAAACUUCUAUCAGCAGGGAAGAUAAUGACGGUACCUGACGAAGAAGCCCCGGCUAACUACGUG